GUGCUCACUUCAGCAGCACAUAUACUAAAACUGGAACAAUACAGAGAUUAGCAUGGCCC
rnacentral:snRNA from 1 species